UUUUCGGCAACAGAAGUUGAAAUAAAAUCUACCAGUCUGACCGCUCAGUACUCCUAGGACUCAGUGGUCAUGGGUCAGGAUUAAAAGUCUGCAUGUCUCUGGGGAGCCUGUCUCUAAGACUAUGGAUUUGACCAACAGAAACUUCCAGGGCAGGUGACUGCUGGGUUGCUUUGCAGCAUGGCACUCUCCUGAGGAUGAAUUUGAGUUCUUUGGUGUCAUGGGCACAGGGUUCCAGAAAGGCAGGAAGGUAGAACUAGGGAUGGUUCUAUGGUGUGUGGGCUCUAGGCAAGUGACCAGGUGGAGGCAGACCCAAUAUAGCGGCCCCCAGGGCCUUGAGAGCAGUUUCCAAUGGAAAUAUAGGCUUUCCCACCAGGGUUCUCCCAGUUGAGGCAGAAGGGGGAACCAUUGCCCAGAAUCUUCUAAGCUCAGUGUCAAAGGCAACUGGGAUCUUAGUGUCAUCUCUGCAGAUUCCAGAGCCUGCUUCACAAGGAGCGAAUGGUCCAUGACUUUGUCCUCUAGAUCAGAAGAAGCAGUGGCAAGGCUGAGAGAGGAGGCAAAGGAUUGGGUGGCUGCUCAGCAUUUGGUGUUUACUGAUGGCCCUCUUGCACAAUUUCAAGGUAGAGUUCAUUAUGUUGGGUGAUGAUGGUACUCUUGGCAGGAAAUUGCUUACAAGGUUGGGUCUGAUGAACUUGGGUUGAAAAGC
rnacentral:lncRNA from 1 species